UACGUAGGGUGCGAGCGUUGUCCGGAAUUAUUGGGCGUAAAGAGCUCGUAGGCGGUUUGUUGCGUCGGCCGUGAAAACCUGCAGCUUAACUGUGGGCCUGCGGCCGAUACGGGCAGACUUGAGUUCGGUAGGGGAGACUGGAAUUCCUGGUGUAGCGGUGAAAUGCGCAGAUAUCUGGAGGAACACCGGUGGCGAAGGCGGCAUCCUGGACCGGCAUUGACGCUGAGGAGCGAAAGCCAGGGGAGCAAACGGG
rnacentral:rRNA from 1 species